rnacentral:rRNA from 1 species
AGUGAACGCUGGCGGUAGGCCUAACACAUGCAAGUCGAACGGCAGCACAGUAAGAGCUUGCUCUUACGGGUGGCGAGUGGCGGACGGGUGAGGAAUACAUCGGAAUCUACUUUUUCGUGGGGGAUAACGUAGGGAAACUUACGCUAAUACCGCAUACGACCUACGGGUGAAAGCAGGGGAUCUUCGGACCUUGCGCGACUGAAUGAGCCGAUGUCGGAUUAGCUAGUUGGCGGGGUAAAGGCCCACCAAGGCGACGAUCCGUAGCUGGUCUGAGAGGAUGAUCAGCCACACUGGAACUGAGACACGGUCCAGACUCCUACGGGAGGCAGCAGUGGGGAAUAUUGGACAAUGGGCGCAAGCCUGAUCCAGCCAUACCGCGUGGGUGAAGAAGGCCUUCGGGUUGUAAAGCCCUUUUGUUGGGAAAGAAAAGCAGCAGGUUAAUACCCCGCUGUUCUGACGGUACCCAAAGAAUAAGCACCGGCUAACUUCAUG